rnacentral:rRNA from 1 species
UACGAAGGGGACUAGCGUUGUUCGGAAUUACUGGGCUUAAAGAGUUCGUAGGCGGCAUGAAAAGCAGGGUGUGAAAGCCCUCGGCUCAACCGAGGAAUUGCGCUCUGAACUGUCGUGCUUGAGGAACCUAGAGGUGAGCAGAACAGAUGGUGGAGCGGUGAAAUGCGUUGAUAUCAUCUGGAAUACCGGAGGCGAAGGCGGCUCACUGGGGGUUUUCUGACGCUGAGGAACGAAAGCCAGGGUAGCGAACGGG